rnacentral:rRNA from 1 species
ACGAACGCUGGCGGCGUGCUUAACCCAUGCAAGUCGAACGGAAAGGCCCUGCUUUUGUGGGGUGCUCGAGUGGCGAACGGGUGAGUAACACGUGAGUAACCUGCCCUUGACUUUGGGAUAACUUCAGGAAACUGGGGCUAAUACCGGAUAGGAGCUCCUGCUGCAUGGUGGGGGUUGGAAAGUUUCGGCGGUUGGGGAUGGACUGGCGGCUUAUCAGCUUGUUGGUGGGGUAGUGGCUUACCAAGGCUUUGACGGGUAGCCGGACUGAGAGGGUGACCGGCAACAUUGGGACUGAGAUACGGCCCAGACUCCUACGGGAGGCAGCAGUGGGGAAUAUUGCACAAUGGGCGGAAGCCUGAUGCAGCAACGCCGCGUGCGGGAUGACGGCCUUCGGGUUGUAAACCGCUUUCGCCUGUGACGAAGCGUGAGUGACGGUAAUGGGUAAAGAAGCACCGGCUAACUACGUG